rnacentral:ncRNA from 2 species
GCUUACUUGAAAAGAGAUGGUCCCUUUCCGGCAACGGGGAGGGCUAAGAGAGAAUGCGGUGAGAUCCCUUUCGCGAUCAAUGCCGCGGCUGCCCCCGCAACUGUAAGCGGUGAGCCAUUGCCUAUAAGCCACUGGGAAACCGGGAAGGCAGGCAAAUGGCGGUGACCCGCAAGCCAGGAGACCUGCCAUCUGAUGUUUUUGCUU